AGGGAAACCGAGUCUUAACUGGGCGUUAAGUUGCAGGGUAUAGACCCGAAACCCGGUGAUCUAGCCAUGGGCAGGUUGAAGGUUGGGUAACACUAACUGGAGGACCGAACCGACUAAUGUUGAAAAAUUAGCGGAUGACUUGUGGCUGGGGGUGAAAGGCCAAUCAAACCGGGAGAUAGCUGGUUCUCCCCGAAAGCUAUUUAGGUAGCGCCUCGUGAACUCAUCUUCGGGGGUAGAGCACUGUUUCGGCUAGGGGGUCAUCCCGACUUACCAACCCGAUGCAAACUGCGAAUACCGAAGAAUGUUAUCACGGGAGACACACGGCGGGUGCUAACGUCCGUCGUGAAGAGGGAAACAACCCAGACCGCCAGCUAAGGUCCCAAAGUCACAGUUAAGUGGGAAACGAUGUGGGAAGGCUCAGACAGCCAGGAUGUUGGCUUAGAAGCAGCCAUCAUUUAAAGAAAGCGUAAUAGCUCACUGGUCGAGUCGGCCUGCGCGGAAGAUGUAACGGGGCUAAACUGUGCACCGAAGCUGCGGCAGCGACGCUUAUGCGUUGUUGGGUAGGGGAGCGUUCUGUAAGCCUGCGAAGGUGUCCUGUGAGGGAUGCUGGAGGUAUCAGAAGUGCGAAUGCUGACAUAAGUAACGAUAAUGCGGGUGAAAAGCCCGCUCGCCGGAAGACCAAGGGUUCCUGUCCAACGUUAAUCGGGGCAGGGUGAGUCGACCCCUAAGGCGAGGCCGAAAGGCGUAGUCGAUGGGAAACGGGUUAAUAUUCCCGUACUUGGUGUUACUGCGAAGGGGGGACGGAGAAGGCUAUGUUGGCCGGGCGACGGUUGUCCCGGUUUAAGCGUGUAGGCUGGUUUUCCAGGCAAAUCCGGAAAAUCAAGGCUGAGGCGUGAUGACGAGGCACUACGGUGCUGAAGCAACAAAUGCCCUGCUUCCAGGAAAAGCCUCUAAGCAUCAGGUAACAUCAAAUCGUACCCCAAACCGACACAGGUGGUCAGGUAGAGAAUACCAAGGCGCUUGAGAGAACUCGGGUGAAGGAACUAGGCAAAAUGGUGCCGUAACUUCGGGAGAAGGCACGCUGACACGUAGGUGAAGUGAUUUACUCAUGGAGCUGAAGUCAGUCGAAGAUACCAGCUGGCUGCAACUGUUUAUUAAAAACACAGCACUGUGCAAACACGAAAGUGGACGUAUACGGUGUGACGCCUGCCCGGUGCCGGAAGGUUAAUUGAUGGGGUCAGCGCAAGCGAAGCUCCUGAUCGAAGCCCCGGUAAACGGCGGCCGUAACUAUAACGGUCCUAAGGUAGCGAAAUUCCUUGUCGGGUAAGUUCCGACCUGCACGAAUGGCGUAAUGAUGGCCAGGCUGUCUCCACCCGAGACUCAGUGAAAUUGAACUCGCUGUGAAGAUGCAGUGUACCCGCGGCAAGACGGAAAGACCCCGUGAACCUUUACUAUAGCUUGACACUGAACAUUGAGCCUUGAUGUGUAGGAUAGGUGGGAGGCUUUGAAGUGUGGACGCCAGUCUGCAUGGAGCCGACCUUGAAAUACCACCCUUUAAUGUUU
rnacentral:rRNA from 1 species